rnacentral:rRNA from 1 species
CACGUAGGGGGCAAGCGUUGUCCGGAUUUAUUGGGCGUAAAGAGCUCGUAGGUGGCUCGAUAAGUCGGGUGUUAAACCCCCAGGCUCAACCUGGGGCGCCACUCGAUACUGUCGUGGCUAGAGUCCGGUAGGGGAGCGUGGAAUUCCUGGUGUAGCGGUGAAAUGCGCAGAUAUCAGGAGGAACACCAGCGGCGAAGGCGGCGCUCUGGGCCGGAACUGACACUGAGGAGCGAAAGCCAGGGGAGCAAACGGG